AAGCCACGGCCGCCGGACCUCCACGCCUCCGCGAGCCCGCCGCCGGCCUGUGACCUCUACGCUGCCUCCAGUCCUCUCCGGACUCCUCCAUCGUAUUCUUCUCAUUCUCCGACGCUGCCAAGUUCGCCCGAGGAAGAAGCGUCGAGUUCGCCGGAGGAACAAGAACAUCCGUCCAGCCGUCCAUUGUCGCCUGAGCUACACCAGAGGUGCCAAAGGUGUCCGAUCGAACUAAGGUGGAGGCCAAGGAGGUUUAGCUCUCGGACAUUGCACCAAUGACGCUGGAUAAUACCGACAUGCAUACUGAAUUCGUCCAAGGACCGUCGGAAGAUCAGAAUUGCGGCUAAUGUCCCUUAAGAGGUGU